rnacentral:rRNA from 1 species
CGGAAAAGGUGACCUGCGGAGGGAUCAUUACACAAAUAUGAAGGCGGGCUGGAACCUCUCGGGGUUACAGCCUUGCUGAAUUAUUCACCCUUGUCUUUUGCGUACUUCUUGUUUCCUUGGUGGGUUCGCCCACCACUAGGACAAACAUAAACCUUUUGUAAUUGCAAUCAGCGUCAGUAACAAAUUAAUAAUUACAACUUUCAACAACGGAUCUCUUGGUUCUGGCAUCGAUGAAGAACGCAGCGAAAUGCGAUAAGUAGUGUGAAUUGCAGAAUUCAGUGAAUCAUCGAAUCUUUGAACGCACAUUGCGCCCUUUGGUAUUCCAAAGGGCAUGCCUGUUCGAGCGUCAUUUGUACCCUCAAGCUUUGCUUGGUGUUGGGCGUCUUGUCUCUAGCUUUGCUGGAGACUCGCCUUAAAGUAAUUGGCAGCCGGCCUACUGGUUUCGGAGCGCAGCACAAGUCGCACUCUCUAUCAGCAAAGGUCUAGCAUCCAUUAAGCCUUUUUUUCAACUUUUGACCUCGGAUCAGGUAGGGAUACCCGCUGAACUUAA